UUAUAUAAGACGAGAAGACCCUAUGGAGCUUCAAACCCAACUACACCCCUAACUCUAUAGCCCCUCAACCACACUGGCCCCUGUAUAGUUGAUUUUAGGUUGGGGCGACCACGGAGUAAAACAAAACCUCCAUAAUGAACGGGCCUACCCCCUUAUCUAAGAACCACACCCCCUAAGAAUUAGAAUACUAACAUAAAAUGAUCCAUUAUUUGAUUAAUGAACCAAGUUACCCUAGGGAUAACAGCGCAAUCCAUUUCGAGAGCCCAUAUCGACAAAU
rnacentral:rRNA from 1 species